AUCCCGCAAAGGGUGGGUACUGUGACAUUCGAGGAGUCGUGCGGUACUCAAACUCUGGCAGGGAUGCCUGGCUCCAUUCUAUGACUCAAAUACAGAACGACCUCCAAGGGUGGUUCCACCCCAUUGCCAUUAUUGCUAAAAUAGACCUGGAGGUGGAAAAUUAAUUUAUCUUCUCGAUGAAGAAUACUACCGCCAUAUUCUCCGUCCUCCGCACCCCGCCCUGCAACUAAGUCCCAUCGCCGGCUCCCGUCGCCCCCAGGAACCCUUGAUGGCCCUAGAGCGCUGGCGCUUCUGGGUCCUCCAGCUCUGGGCUGGCAGAAACAAAAGGGAUUGAGACUAGGAGAACUUAUGGACGCCACCCUCUGAGACAUUCUCGCCUCCAGGCCUGGUCUGGAGAAUCCGCGUGUAGCAGGAGAAGGCGCGACAAGGAAGCCAUGAGGCUGGAGAGUAGGACAGCUCUCCUACCUGAAGAAAUCUAUCAAGGCAUUGCCAGCCAGAUAGCUGCUCUACUGGAAACUACAACAUCUGAAAUGUCUGUAGUCAAAAUCUUGUGCGAUUGAUGAACAGUAAGUUAAUUUUUAUGGAGCUUCACCUAGUGCUGUGGUGCUUCAGGAAGCAGUCUCUUGAGAUACAUAUCUCCUUCAGUGGUAACCCCAAGAGUUUCAUAAAAGACCCCACACCCACACCGUGGUUCAGGGUCGGGGUGGCAGUCCGCUAGCCUUCUUUCUGCACAAUAAAUGUUUGUUGAACGGUAAAGAAAAUAAAAUAAAGAAACUGAACAAAG